CACGUAGGGGGCGAGCGUUGUCCGGAUUUACUGGGCGUAAAGAGCUCGUAGGCGGCUUGUCACGUCGGGUGUGAAAGCCCGGGGCUUAACCCCGGGUCUGCAUUCGAUACGGGCUAGCUAGAGUGUGGUAGGGGAGAUCGGAAUUCCUGGUGUAGCGGUGAAAUGCGCAGAUAUCAGGAGGAACACCGGUGGCGAAGGCGGAUCUCUGGGCCAUUACUGACGCUGAGGAGCGAAAGCGUGGGGAGCGAACAGG
rnacentral:rRNA from 1 species